AGAUUGAACGCUAGCGGGAUGCUUUACACAUGCAAGUCGAACGGCAGCGCGGACUUCGGUCUGGCGGCGAGUGGCGAACGGGUGAGUAAUAUAUCGGAACGUGCCCAGUAGCGGGGGAUAACUACGCGAAAGCGUGGCUAAUACCGCAUACGCCCGUACGGGGGAAAGGGGGGAUUCUUCGGAACCUCUCACUAUUGGAGCGGCCGAUAUCAGAUUAGCUAGUUGGUGAGGUAAAGGCUCACCAAGGCGACGAUCUGUAGCUGGUUUGAGAGGACGACCAGCCACACUGGGACUGAGACACGGCCCAGACU
rnacentral:rRNA from 1 species